UUCCUUCCCAAAACUGAAACCCAAAGUCAGUGAGAGCAACCGUUGUAAAUCUCCAAGAAACUCGAUCAUCUUCCUUUCCAAAAGCUGAAACCCGAACUCAGUGAGAGCAACCGUUGUCAAGAACAGAAGAAACUCGAUCAUCUUUCUUCCCAAAAGCUGAAACCCUAAGUCAG